rnacentral:rRNA from 1 species
AGGUAGCGAAAUUCCUUGUCGGGUAAGUUCCGACCUGCACGAAUGGCGUAACGACUUCCCCGCUGUCUCCAACAUAGACUCAGCGAAAUUGAAUUACCGGUCAAGAUGCCGGUUACCCGCGGUUAGACGGAAAGACCCCGUGCACCUUUACUACAACUUCACACUGGCAUUAGGCCGAACAUGUGCAGGAUAGGUGGUGGGCUUUGAAGCGUGGACGCCAGUCUGCGUGGAGCCUCCCUUGAGAUACCACCCUUGUUCUGCUUGAUGUCUAACCGCGGUCCGUUAUCCGGAUCCGGGACCCUGUGUGGUGGGUAGUUUGACUGGGGCGGUCGCCUCCUAAAUCGUAACGGAGGCGCGCGAAGGUUGGCUCAGAGCGGUCGGAAAUCGCUCGUUGAGUGCAAUGGCAGAAGCCAGCCUGACUGCGAGACUGACAAGUCGAGCAGAGUCGAAAGACGGCCAUAGUGAUCCGGUGGUCCCAAGUGGGAGGGCCAUCGCUCAACGGAUAAAAGGUACGCCGGGGAUAACAGGCUGAUACUGCCCAAGAGUCCAUAUCGACGGCAGUGUUUGGCACCUCGAUGUCGGCUCAUCUCAUCCUGGGGCUGGAGCAGGUCCCAAGGGUACGGCUGUUCGCCGUUUAAAGAGGUACGUGAGCUGGGUUUAGAACGUCGUGAGACAGUUCGGUCCCUAUCUUCCGUGGGUGUAGGAUACUUGAGAGGAGUUGCCCCUAGUACGAGAGGACCGGGGUGAACGAUCCACUGGUGGACCAGUUGUUAUGCCAAUAGCAGUGCUGGGUAGCUAUGAUCGGACAGGAUAACCGCUGAAGGCAUCUAAGCGGGAAGCCCCCCUCAAAACAAGGUAUCCCUGAGAGCCGAGGUAGACCACCUCGUCGAUAGGCCAGAGAUGUAAGCGUAGUAAUACGUUCAGUUGACUGGUACUAAUUGCUCGAUAGGCUUGAUUUG